GACGAACGCUGGCGGCGUGCCUAAUACAUGCAAGUCGAGCGAAUGGAAGGGAGCUUGCUCCCUGAAGUUAGCGGCGGACGGGUGAGUAACACGUGGGCAACCUGCCUGUAAGACUGGGAUAACUUCGGGAAACCGGAGCUAAUACUGGAUACGUUCUUUCCUCGCAUGAGGAAAGAUGGAAAGAUGGUUUCGGCUAUCACUUACAGAUGGGCCCGCGGCGCAUUAGCUAGUUGGUGGGGUAACGGCCCACCAAGGCGACGAUGCGUAGCCGACAUGGGAGGGGGAUCGGCCACACUGGGACUGAGACACGGCCCAGACUCCUACGGGAGGCAGCAGUAGGGAAUCUUCCGCAAUGGACGAAAGUCUGACGGAGCAACGCCGCGUGAGCGAAGAAGGCCUUCGGGUCGUAAAGCUCUGUUGUCAGGGAAGAACAAGUACCGGAGUAACUGCCGGUACCUUGACGGUACCUAACCAGAAAGCCACGGCUAACUACGUGCCAGCCGCCGCCGUAACAC
rnacentral:rRNA from 1 species